rnacentral:rRNA from 1 species
UACGUAGGGGGCAAGCGUUGUCCGGAUUUAUUGGGCGUAAAGAGCGUGUAGGCGGCUUUACAGGUCCGUUGUGAAAACUCGAGGCUCAACCUCGAGACGCCGGUGGAAACCGUAAAGCUAGAGUCCGGAAGAGGAGAGUGGAAUUCCUGGUGUAGCGGUGAAAUGCGCAGAUAUCAGGAGGAACACCCGUGGCGAAAGCGACUUCCUGGACCAGAACUGACGAUCAGGCACGAAAGCGUGGGGAGCAAACAGG